rnacentral:lncRNA from 12 species
CCAGGUGUGUUUGGGUGUGGCCCAGGUAUGUCCCACUGUGUUCAGGUGUGCCUCAGGUGUGUUUGGGUGUAGCCCAGGUGUAUCCCAGAUGCAUCUGGGUGGGGUCCAGGUGCGUCCUGGUGUGGCUGGGGGUAUCUCACCUGCAUCCCAGGUGUGCUCAGGUGUGUCUGGGUGUAUCCCAGGUGUGCCCAAGCGUGUCCCAGGUACGUCGUAAGUACCCCCAAGUGUGUCCCAGGUGUGCCCAGGUGUGUUCCAAGUGCCCCCAGGUGUGUUCCAAGUGCCCCCUGCUGUGCCCAGCACACCCAGGUGUGCCCAGGUACUCACGGGGAGUAGGGGUGGGCUCGGGGGGCGAUAGAGCGCUGGGCCCCCCCCGGGAGCACCUCCUGUGGUGACAUCAUCACGAAAAACUGCCCUGUGAGCCCAGAGCCACAGGUGA